rnacentral:rRNA from 1 species
GUUAGGAAUCUUCCGCAAUGGACGGAAGUCUGACGGAGCGACGCCGCUUGGAGGAGGAAGCCCUUCGGGGUGUAAACUCCUGAACUGGGGACGAAAGCCCCGUGUAGGGGGAUGACGGUACCCAGGUAAUAGCGCCGGCCAACUCCGUGCCAGCAGCCGCGGUAAUACGGAGGGCGCGAGCGUUACCCGGAUUUACUGGGCGUAAAGGGCGUGUAGGCGGCCUGGGGCGUCCCAUGUGAAAGGCCACGGCUCAACCGUGGAGGAGCGUGGGAUACGCUCAGGCUAGAGGGUGGGAGAGGGUGGUGGAAUUCCCGGAGUAGCGGUGAAAUGCGCAGAUACCGGGAGGAACGCCGAUGGCGAAGGCAGCCACCUGGUCCACUUCUGACGCUGAGGCGCGAAAGCGUGGGGAGCAAACCGGAUUAGAAACCCUAGUAGUCC